GUAAAAUGCCAAGGGAGGAAGCGUAAGCCCGGAUUCCUUGUUGCUACACCUGCCACCCCCGCCCCAGGACCUGUGAGCUCCAGAGCCCUGCUCUCCUGGCCCCCGUCUUUCUGCUCAAGGGGACACCAGCUGGCCUCAGGCACAGUGACCUGCGAGACUAACCAUCUUGCUCAAGCGACAUCCUGACCUCAUCGCUGGUGCCUGAGACCAGCCUACCGUGCGACACCACACAUCUCCGACUUGCUCACGACUAUGUGACCACCAGAGUCCAGCUGCAGGCGAAAGAUACACUCACCCUCCCACUUCAGGGGAUCCAAUUUCCCAUCCGCAGAGUAUAAGAAGGACCCACCAGAAGGGCAGGGGACUGGCUUUUUUUCACGGGUCAGUCACCCUCUCCUUUCCCUUUAAUAAAUUUUCUUCUCUGUGCCUGAACACCUGGCUUGUUCUCUUUUUCUCUGCACUCGCCUUCCAGAAAUGAUAAGCACCCACAAGAGGGAGCAAGAAAUGGGCUCUCGCCCCUGCUCCGCACCCCUGCAACUGGUGUGGUGUCCCCGCUGGGA